GCAUAGGUUCAGAUUCUGGCUAUUAUUAACUUAAAAGAUUGGUUUGCAAUCUCUCAUAGUGUCCCAUGAGAGAGCAAACUGGUCUUGAACCAUUGCCUGGUGUCUGCCCACUAGGCUGUAAGCAUUGAAACAACUUUUUG
rnacentral:snoRNA from 1 species